UCAGAGGAGAGCUGCUUCAGUUUCUGCGUCAAAUUACGGGAUGCCUCGGCUAACGCUCGGGUGUCUAGGGCGAGCUUGGCACUUUUGUCCAUGAGGGAGGGUAGAGGAGAAGUCUGCGUCGUGAUAUCCGUGCCAUCCUCUCCGUUUCUCUUCGAUGUUUCGAGCGUCGAUUGAUGCACGUGAUGAGCGGUGCAAAGCUUUUUGCUCGCUGGCGUCGUAGAGUCGUACGACGAGGAGGUUGACUCAGAGCAAGUGUAAUUGAUGGAGGUAGAUUGUUGCAAAUGGUCGAUGGAAAUGGUCGAGGAUGAGGUAGUAGUAGUAGUAGUGGUAGCAACAGCGGCAGCAGUAGCAGCAGCAGCAGCAGCGGCGGCGGCUGCAGCAGUGGCGGCGGCAGUGGCAGCAUUAGUGGCAGCGGCAGCAGCAGCGGCUGCGGCUGCGGCUGCGGCGGCGGCGGCGGCGGCAGUAGUAGUGGAGCAGGUGGUUGAAGAAGAGGAGAUGGUGCCGGAGGGUGAGGAGAGAGAUGAGGGUGAGGCGAGAGAUGAUGGUAGAGAGGAGGAGGAGGAGGAGGUAGAAGAAGAAGAGGAAAAAGGAAAAGAAGAGGGAGAGGAUGUUGAAGGGGAGGGAGAAGUACAGGACGAGGUACAAGUUGGCUUAUACCUCGAAUGAUGGCGGUGAUGGUGGUGGUGAUGAUGAUGAUGAUGAUUGUGGUAACGAUGAUGAUGAUAGAGAAGUCGAGACUGGCACAUACUCGAACAGUUGGUAGCCGAAAACGCAGUGGUAGCGCGACUGGAACAGACUGAACUUGUCGUUUUGGUCGCUGUCGAUAAACUUGUGCUGCAGCUCGCCGCAGCAUGUAAAGCCGAUGCCAAACGGCUUACGAGGGAGGACGUACGGGCUGCUGCGCUUCCUCGUUGAAGUUUCGCCGUAGAACUCGCUGUAGAACGUGCCGCCAACACCGUUGAUCGCCUACUUUGAAGUGAGGGCGAAACGUGAUUCGUCGAAAGAUUCGGUCCGUUUCCACCGCCGUUGUUUCCGCCGACGGUCAAGCUAGUAGUACCGCUGCCGUUCGUUUGAUUGCUACCUGGUAAAGGCACUCUCACCGUCGAUAACUGCAGUUGAAUCAGCAUCAUGUGAUCGCCCAACCGCAUCGUCAGAUUUAGAGGGUCCAUAGGAAAAAUAAAAAAAAAAAAAGAUAAUUCAACUCGAUAUAGAAGAGAAAGGAUGAGGAUCGAAUAAAAGAAAGAUGAUCGAACGAAUCGAUGAAACAAAGCAACGGCAGAAGAUGAAAACAAGAAGACCUGCAGAAGGAAGGAAACCUCGUCGCAUCGAAGCUCAGAGACCCUCGAUGGCUCGUCUAGUCAUCCCUCGGCACACCUAACGGACUUCUUUCUCACAUUGACGGCUAUCGCGUAUUUGAAGAAGCAUCAUUAAUUCUUGCAAAUCUAAACAUUGAAGGAAACUUACCAAUAAUCCUGUUUCCACACUUGGCAAUAAUGUGAGUCUACUUCCAUCUUGCAAACGAUUUUCCUCAAGAGUUCCAUCGCGUAGCUGUCUAUAACAAAAAUUUUAGAAAAGAAUAAUCUUUCCUGUACCAAUACGUAUUUUUUAUUCAACAUUUAUUUAUUAAACAUUUAUUUACAAUCAUUUGUACAAAUUUUUAAAUGAAUUAUAUAAUAAUUAAUACGAAGUUAAUUCAAAUGUGUAGAAGAAGUUUCGGAUUAGAUAAACGCAAUAAGAUAUCUUCGAGUAUACAAACUUUUCCCUUAUAAUUACAAAGAUGCUAUGUCAUAUUGAUAUAAUAAAAUAAGAAAAAGAGAAUAUAAUUUCAUGGUCUCAAAGUUCCCAAUGAUAAGAAACUUGGAAGAAGACACGUGUGAUCAAACGUAUCGGUAGCUCAAAGUACGUAUUGCGUUUACCUAAACAUGAAACGAUAUGAUAUCGAUUCAUAAAACCGUUGUAAUAUAUCGUAAAGAAAAAUAAUAACAUGAAUAUCGACAAAUGGACGAUAAAUCAAUCGGGUUGUUAAAUGAAAAGUCAAAAUAAAAAUAAUCAAUCGUAGCUGA